GCCAUGCACCAUUCAAUGAAAAUGGAUCCACAUGGAUUAUGGGAUAAAACCAAACCAUCUAAAUUAAAUUUAUAAUUCCAAGUAAUAUGAAAAUUUCUUUGCCAUUGACCUAAGUUCACACAUCUAACAUGUUUUUUUGGGAUAGAAUGAUAAAGACAUGAUAAAUUA